GCUGUGGGGAGGUGCCGUAUUGGUCAAGUCCACGGGGUGAGUCUUCAUUCACCUGCUAACAUCUAGAAUGGCCAAGAGACCUUGAGUGCCCUGGAUAAAUGAGUAGGGCCACUGGACCAGGAUAAAGGUGGACAUCAAUGUGAAAGUCCUUGCCUUCCAGACAGCUGCAGAGAGAGUGGACAGCAGAGGACAGCAAAAGAGCAACAGGCUUUUCACGUGGAUGGGAAGAGACAGUGGGGAGGAGACAGUGGGCAGCAGCCUUUGCUGGGAAGGCCUCUGCCACAGAGUAUCUCAAAAUGGAAUCCAUCCAGACGCCAUCAGAGAUGUUACAGAAAUGGCCUGUUCCUGGAGUAUGUUGGUGGCAGAUCUGUGUCCUUACCGCUCUAAGAUUUCCUAUUGAACAGUGACAGAACCAAAGCAGGGCAUUGCUCAUAAACCUGCCUCUCAGAAUUGAGGGAUCCCAGCCCUUGGGACGGUUCCAGCAGGUGCUAAAAUUUGUCUGACAGGAAUGUCGUGCAGAGGACAGAGAGACUGGAUGAGAAGACUAAUUAGAGUUCCUUCUGCUUUUCGGGAAACUCCAUGGUGCUAUGAAGAGUCUGGCUGGAG
rnacentral:lncRNA from 1 species